rnacentral:rRNA from 1 species
GUAGGGAAUCUUGCGCAAUGGGCGAAAGCCUGACGCAGCCAUGCCGCGUGAAUGAUGAAGGUCUUAGGAUUGUAAAAUUCUUUCACCGGGGACGAUAAUGACGGUACCCGGAGAAGAAGCCCCGGCUAACUUCGUGCCAGCAGCCGCGGUAAUACGAAGGGGGCUAGCGUUGCUCGGAAUUACUGGGCGUAAAGGGAGCGUAGGCGGAUAGUUUAGUCAGAGGUGAAAGCCCAGGGCUCAACCUUGGAAUUGCCUUUGAUACUGGCUAUCUUGAGUAUGGAAGAGGUAUGUGGAACUCCGAGUGUAGAGGUGAAAUUCGUAGAUAUUCGGAAGAACACCAGUGGCGAAGGCGACAUACUGGUCCUUUACUGACGCUGAGGCUCGAAAGCGUGGGGAGCAAACAGGAUUAGAAACCCUGGUAGUCC